rnacentral:RNase_P_RNA from 1 species
GCGAUCCACGGCAAGUGCAACAGAAAGCAGACCGCCCCGCGUCACGCGGGGUAAGGGUGAAAGGGUGGGGCAAGAGCCCACCGGCUGUCGCGGUAACGCGGCAGGCCGGGUAAACCCCGUCGGGAGCAAGACCGAAUAGGGAAGCGUUUGAGGCCGGCCCGGCCGAUGCUUCCGGGUAGGGUGCUUGAGGCUGCGGGCGACCGCGGUCCCAGAGGAAUGAUGAUCAUCCCGCGUUACCCGCCGCAUGCGGAACGGCGCGGGAAACAGAACCCGGCUUACAGGCCCGCUUUCGCU